UACAGAGGGGGCAAGCGUUAUUCGGAAUUAUUGGGCGUAAAGGGCGCGUAGGCGGCUUGCCAAGUCAGGGGUGAAAUCCUGCAGCUUAACUGUAGAAGGGCCUUUGAUACUGGCGAGCUCGAGGGAGGUAGGGGUAUGUGGAACUUCCGGUGGAGCGGUGAAAUGCGUUGAUAUCGGAAGGAACGCCGGUGGCGAAAGCGACGUACUGGACCUCUUCUGACGCUGAGGCGCGAAAGCUAGGGGAGCAAACGGG
rnacentral:rRNA from 1 species